UACGAAGGGGGGCUAGCGUUGCUCGGAUUGACUGGGCGUAAAGGGCGCGUAGGCGGUUUGCAUAGUCAGACGUGAAAUUCCUGGGCUUAACCUGGGGGCUGCGUUUGAUACAUGCAGGCUUGAGUUCGGAAGAGGGUCGUGGAAUUCCCAGUGUAGAGGUGAAAUUCGUAGAUAUUGGGAAGAACACCGGUGGCGAAGGCGGCGACCUGGUCCGAUACUGACGCUGAGUGAGCGAAAGCCAGGGGAGCAAACGGG
rnacentral:rRNA from 1 species